rnacentral:rRNA from 1 species
UUGUCCAUCAUUAUCUAUUUACUGUGAACUGUAUUAUUACUUGACGCCUGAGGAAUGUUCCACUGCUAUAAGGAUAGGCAAUGGAAAUGUUAACCGAGUCAUAAUCAAGCUUAGGCUUGGUAUCCUAUUAUUAUUUACCAAAAGAAUUCAGAAUUAAUAUUGUAACAUAGACGUAAAAAAUCUAUAAAACAACUUUUAACAACGGAUCUCUUGGUUCUCGCAUCGAUGAAGAACGUAGCAAAGUGCGAUAACUAGUGUGAAUUGCAUAUUCAGUGAAUCAUCGAGUCUUUGAACGCAACUUGCGCUCAUUGGUAUUCCAAUGAGCACGCCUGUUUCAGUAUCAAAACAAACCCUCUAUCCAACUUUUUUGUUGAAUAGGAUGACUGAAAGUCUCUUGAUUUAUUUUAAUCUUGAACCUCUUGAAAUGUACAAAGGCCUGAUCUUGUUUGAAUGCCUGAACUUUUUUUUAAUAUAAAGAGAAGCUCUUGCAAUAAAACUGUGCUGGGGCCUCCCAAAUAACACUUCUUUAAAUUUGAUCUGAAAUCAGGUGGGAUUACCCGCUAAACUUAAGCAUAU